rnacentral:rRNA from 1 species
AUAGCUUUAGGGCUAGCCUCAAGGUGAGAGAUACGGAGGUAGAGCACUGAAUGUCCUAGGGGGUAUUGCACCUACCGAAGACUAUCAAACUCCGAAUGCCGUCAUCUUAUACUUGGGAGUCAGACUGUGGGUGAUAAGAUUCCUAGUCGAAAGGGCAACAGCCCAGAUCGUCAGCUAAGGUCCCUAAAUGUAAGUUAAGGGGUAAAGGAUGUGGGAUUGCACAGCCAACCAGGAUGUUGGCUUAGAAGCAGCCACUCAUUCAAAGCGUGCGUAAUAGCUCACUGGUCGAGUGAUCCUGCGCCGUAGAUUUCCGGGGCGCCAACUUACUACCGAAGCUACGGCAUCCGGCAUGAUGGGUCGGGGAGCUUCCCAUACGGGUUGAAGCAUGACCGGAAGGACAUGUGGACAGUAUGGGAGGGAAAAGGAUGCGCAGGAGAGCGAGUAGGAGGGGAGA